GAUGAACGCUGGCGGCGUGCCUAAUACAUGCAAGUCGAGCGAACAGACCAGGAGCUUGCUCCUCUGACGUUAGCGGCGGACGGGUGAGUAACACGUGGAUAACCUACCUAUAAGACUGGGAUAACUUCGGGAAACCGGAGCUAAUACCGGAUAAUAUAUUGUACCGCAUGGUUCAAUAGUGAAAGACGGUUUUGCUGUCACUUAUAGAUGGAUCCGCGCCGCAUUAGCUAGUUGGUAAGGUAACGGCUUACCAAGGCGACGAUGCGUAGCCGACCUGAGAGGGUGAUCGGCCACACUGGAACUGAGACACGGUCCAGACUCCUACGGGAGGCAGCAGUAGGGAAUCUUCCGCAAUGGGCGAAAGCCUGACGGAGCAACGCCGCGUGAGUGAUGAAGGUCUUCGGAUCGUAAAGCUCUGUUAUUAGGGAAGAACAAAUGUGUAAGUAACUAUGCACGUCUUGACGGUACCUAAUCAGAAAGCCACGGCUAACUACGUG
rnacentral:rRNA from 1 species